ensembl:lncRNA
CGGAGCGCGGCUCACGGCGGGGCUGCGGCGCGGAGAGAAAGGGCCUUCCGUACCGCAGCUGUGAGCGCUGGUGCCCGCCCGCCUGCUCGCCAGCCGGAGCCACGGCGACUCCGAGGCUGCCCCUCUGCUGCAAAGGCUGAACGCUGCUCCUUACUUCCAGUACCUGUGGCUGCCAGGUUCACGUUGCUCAAUUUCCCUGCUCAAUCUCGAGAUCUGAUCAUACGCUUAACAAAAAAAUGACAUUUAAAUUCUUACAUAACCGCAUGACUGCCGGCACCCCGGCUUUCAGGAAGGCACGAAACGUUACAGGUCUAAUGAUGAAAUCCCAAGCACCUCCGAGAACCCUGCAGAUACAGCACCUGGAAGGGGCCGAUGAAACCCAGGAGACAUAAACGGCCUUUUGGUAUUUCACUGGCUGGCCGUGCCAUAGCUUAGGAUCACGAUGCACAUCCACCAUGAGACAGAACACGAAGGCCACUAGGACACUUUCACACAUCAGUCAGCUCCAGUAGAAACUACAGCACGUUUGUUUGAGAUGCGGUUUCUUACAGGCAGACAACAAGCGUGGAAAUUCAGAUUUGGGACUAAGAAGCUCUGGUGAACAGAUGAUGUUUCUCAGGACCCCAAAGACCCAGAUUUAGAGGCAGCUGAGCCUAAAAGCACUGCCACAGGUGUCUGACCUGUGUGCUGAUGGGCUGGUUCCAGGCACUGCCAUGCCAGACUCUCCAGCCUGUUCUCCCAGCCAGGGUAAACACAUGUUCCUGGGGUAGUAAAAGGGAAUGGGAACCUCAGCUUUUGUCACUUGGCAUUUGGGAUCUGUGCCCCUCCCCAUAGUCACUUGGUUAGCCAACAGGAUUGUGGAUGGCACAGCACAGAGUUCUGUCACCUAAGGAAGUUAUCAAUUCACUUCAGAGAGCAGAGAUCAUAUUUUAAACUGCUACAGGUAGCUCUAUCAGAGUACAUAAUCCUGAUUUUAGAGGUACUCACACACAGCUAAGUUUAACAUCUCCGGGUUAGUUCCUUGUUACCACUGGGCUGUUUUCACACCACCACCACACCACUCCUGUGCUCCUCCUGACCCAGCUGAUCCUACUGAUCCCAGACACAAUGCAUCACAUCAGUUGAUUGGGGUUUCUGGAGGCUGUGUAGCCCAAUCCAGCCCAAAGCUGCAGGAUUUGCCUCUUGCAUUGCUCUGGAGUUAGCAUUGGACUGAUUCUGCACUAACUUUGGUUAGGGACCAAAUUCAGCUGGAAUUUAACCCUCCCAUAUGAAAACAUUGUUUGGGCCAGUGUGAAUUCCUGAACUACUUCGCCGAGGGUCAGGCAAGCAACUAUGAAGAAGCCAGGAAGGGAAGAGAAUCACACAGAGCAGAGCAGAGGUGACAGCAGGAACAUCCAUGCAGACUGAUUUUAACUUUCCCAAAACUGCUGUUCGGUGCUUCAACUUACCUGGCUGUUAACGUGGGAUCACACUCUUCACCUCCUUCAUACGGUCCUGAGAACAGCAGAAUUAAACUUGGUUCUUACCCUUAAGGCCUGGCACCAGCACAUCAAAAAGAAGGGAGUCAUCUGAAACGCUAAGACAGACCGUACUCGGCAAAUGCGACCCUGUGGCACAAAUGGACUUGGCAAAAAGGUAAUGCCUGCCUGUGCGAGAGACCCCAUUUUCCAGGGACCUGUCUGAAUUUGGAGAAUGAGCUCCUUGGAGACCAAAGGACCCUUCGGUACCUGCUCUCCCAUGCUGCAAGGCAUGAUUCUUCCCACCUGUACUGCAAGCACACUGCAGCCCAAUGUGGGGAGAUGGGAACAAACCACGCAUUUGCGUAUUAGUCUCAUUUGAGGUUAAUGGGAAAGUGCUCGAAUGCUGCACUGAAAAUCUCAGGGUAAGACAGAACAGAACACUUCCAUCAUUAGGAGCCAUAAGGAGGCUAAGUGAUGCCCAGGAGGAAAUCGUUAUAUAAUACUUUGUCCUGAUAAAUACAGGUGAUUACUUCGGUGCAUGAUGCAUCUUAAAAGGAAAUACAAACCUUUGGUUAAGAGUCAGGCUGGUCUUCAGCACAGUCCGUGUCUGAUCGUCUGCAGGACACCGUCUGUCAUUCUACAGCCAAUAAUUAAGCUGUUCAUGUGACGAGACUGAAGCUGUGAGGUCAUUACCUCAUGCAAUUACACGUGCCUUAAAUUAAUUAUAGUCAUCAUUCUCACACAUGUGCAACAGUUCAGUCCUUUAGCUGUGUCUGAUACGACAGCAAGUGAAAACACGGCAUACGGAGGAAAAAUAAUGCAGAUUUUGGUCCUCCAGUUAAAGUGGUUUGGUAGGAGAUGUUGUUGGGUUUUGAUCACACGGCCUUAUACUCAAUUCCACAUAUCUAACAAGCGGAAUUGGUUUGCACUUUGAUCACAAACACAGGGGCGCUGAGUUUCAGAACUGCUUUCUUCAUAGCUGUUCUCUAGAACUAAUCAGCAAAUAAGCCGUAUUUACUUUUGCCAUGAAAGUAUUUAUGAAGCGUUUCUCAUAUUAGAGAUGAUGAAAAUUAAGAGGAAAAGUAAAAUGCUUCUACUCUGAAGCGCUGAAGCCCUCUUGGCAAAGACUGUUUAUCCAUUACAGUGACAGGCUUAUCAAGAAGCCACAUUAAUCCUGUCCACAUAUAAGGAGCAAGAACACUGCGCUCCUGUCAUGCCUUUGCACAACGAGGAGUAGAGCUAAGACAAAUCGUGUUUCAUUAGCAAGGCCAUUACAAAUUCAGGUCUUGACCAAACAUACUGGGAUUAGGAGCCAGAGCCAGAACUCAGUGAGGCAUUUGCCCUCAAGAAGGCCCAAGGCAUGUAGAGAUGUAUAAAACAUACAUAAAACUCCUCUCAAAUAACUGUUCCUAAAGGAACAUACCUUCUGGGGAAGGGAGCCUGUUUGAGUGCCACUGUGCAGUUCUAAUAGCUGUAGAACCCACGCCAGCAGCUUGCCAUGCCCCUCAGCUCAGCCUUCAGACUGAAACAAAGAUCUUGAAGAUAUUCAGAUACAGUAGCAUGUUUUCUUGUUUGCUUAGUUCAUCAUAUUUGUCUCCAAAUACAGCUACCUACCUGCCUUUUGGUGAAAUAAAUCAGUUCGUUUCCCUUAAAUUCCCACCAGCGUGGAGUAGUUUAGCAAACCCCAGACACCGGGAUUCAUUUUGGAGCACUGAGCACUUUACACAGCCAUUGCAAUAAGGCACAGCUAAGGAACCCAGGCUUUGGCACCUGAUUACCGGGAACUUGCUGGCAAAUUGCAGCAGGGAGGACCUGCAACUCCUACGAAUAAAGCUGUGAAGGUCUGAAUUCUUUGAAAGUUUCAGUGAAAUCCUUAUCUGUGCCGAAACCUCACUCUUGGCUUUUGUGCUCAGCUCUUAUGUAAGGGCAGCAAAUUAGUUUAUCUUCCUUCGUGUCCUCCAGGUCAGUGACACACCGCCAUCGGGUCACGUUACUGUUUAGCUGAACGGCC